GGGGGCGUAAAGGUUUCGACGGGGAUUUUGAGGGCGAAUAAGCGAGUAGAGAAAGCGUCAAUCUCUUUAAACGGCGCAAAAUUUUAAUUUUAAACGACAAUAAUAGUUUAGAAUUGGCUGCUGCUUAAUAGCGGCCCGUCCUGCCGAUGAGUACUGCGGCAUCGGUUUGGGCGUCGUUUAGCAGUGAACGUUCUUAGGUAACUCCGGUAGCCUAAGGAUGAAUAACCGGAUACUGAUUCCAGUCGCCUGCUUGCCGGCUAUUGAAAUCGGGAAUGCUGAUGACAAGCUACACUCGUAGAAAGUUUUCCUAAGGAGUUUUCGGACACGGGUUCGAUUCCCGUCGCCUCCACCA
rnacentral:tmRNA from 1 species